rnacentral:lncRNA from 1 species
UCUAUAGCAACGAUAGAGGCCCAGAGAAUAAUAGCCAACACUUAACAUGACGCCCACGAUGUGCAGGCACUGUUCUAAGCAUUUUACAUAUGUAAACUGGUUAAUCCUCAUCACAACUCCAUGAGUUUCCUGGUUGAAGGAUUAAUUAUCUGCUACCUGAUCUAAAGUUGAUAAAUGAAAAACAUCAGUAUUAACACAUGACAUG